AUUGAACGCUGGCGGAAUGCUUUACACAUGCAAGUCGAGCGGCAGCACGGGGGCAACCCUGGUGGCGAGCGGCGAACGGGUGAGUAAUACAUCGGAACAUGCCCAGUCGUGGGGGAUAACACUUCGAAAGAAGUGCUAAUACCGCAUACGUCCUGAGGGAGAAAGCGGGGGAUCGCAAGACCUCGCGCGAUUGGAGUGGCCGAUGUCAGAUUAGCUAGUUGGUGGGGUAAAGGCCUACCAAGGCAACGAUCUGUAGCUGGUCUGAGAGGAUGAUCAGCCACACUGGGACUGAGACACGGCCCAGACUCCUACGGGAGGCAGCAGUGGGGAAUUUUGGGAAAUGGGGGCAACCCUGAUCCAGCCAUUCCGCGUGAGUGAAGAAGGCCUUCGGGUUGUAAAGCUCUUUCGGCAGGAACGAAACGGCGAGCUCUAACAUAGCUUGCUAAUGACGGUACCUGAAGAAGAAGCACCGGCUAACUACGUG
rnacentral:rRNA from 1 species